AUUCUGCCCAUGCGGGGAAGGAUGAGAAGCUUCGAUUAAGGUUCGGCUCGAGCGUCAGCGAGAGAGCGUUGCCGCAGGCAACGACCCGAAGGGCGAAGCGCGCAGCGCUGAGUAAUCCUUCCCCCACCACCA
rnacentral:sRNA from 2 species